rnacentral:lncRNA from 1 species
CCGCCCACUUCCUUAUUUUCUCUUUCCUUUGUGCAACAAAAAGAAAGUUUUCAAUGUGGAAAAUCAGAUGAGGAUCUGAUUUACUAUGAAAAACAUCAGGUUGUGGCAUCACAUAAUUUUUUAGGGGUGUGGAAUUAUGAAAAGGUGCGACAAAAAAUAAGUAAGAGUCCAACAUCCAUAGGACUCUUCACCUAACUUCUUACAUGCCAAAAUAAAAGGGAUUAUUCUUUCUUUUGUGUGUGUAAGAGACAAGAGAAGGUAGCCUUCAUGUUGAAGGGGCUUUGGGUAUGGUUCU